rnacentral:rRNA from 1 species
UACCAGCACCCCGAGUGGUCGGGACGUUUAUUGGGCCUAAAGCAUCCGUAGCCGGUUCUACAAGUCUUCCGUUAAAUCCACCUGCUUAACAGAUGGGCUGCGGAGGAUACUAUAGAGCUAGGAGGCGGGAGAGGCAAGCGGUACUUAGUGGGUAGGGGUAAAAUCCGUUGAUCCGUUGAAGACCACCAGUGGCGAAGGCGGCUUGCCAGAACGCACUCGACGGUGAGGGAUGAAAGCUGGGGGAGCAAACCGG